UGAAAUCCCUCGGCUCAACCGAGGAACUGCUUGGUGAACCACAAGUCUUGAGGUCGGUAGAGGCGGUCGGAACGAUAGGUGGAGCGGUGAAAUGCGUAGAUAUCUAUCGGAACGCCAAUGGUGCAGACAGGCCGCUGGGCCGCACCUGACGCUGAGGCACGAAAGCGUGGGGAUCAAACGGGAUUAGAUACCCCGGUAGUCCACGCCGUAAACGAUGCGCACUUGGUCGAGGGAGUUGAACGCUUUCUCGGUCGUAGAAAAAUUGAUUAGUGCGCCGCCUGGGGAGUACGGUCGCAAGAUUAAAACUCAAAGGAAUUGACGGGGGCUCACACAAGCGGUGGAGCAUGUGGCUUAAUUCGAAGCAACGCGAAGAACCUUAUCCUAGGCUUGACAUGCACGGAUUAGUUCCUGGAAACAGGAGUGACACUCGCAAGAGUGGAACGUGCACAGGUGCUGCAUGGCUGUCGUCAGCUCGUGCUGUGAAGUGUCGGGUUAAGUCCCUCAACGAGCGCAACCCCUGUCACUAGUUGCAAACAGGUAAUGCUGUGGACUCUAGUGAGACUGCCGGUGUCAAACCGGAGGAAGGUGGGGAUGACGUCAAGUCCUCAUGGCCCUUAUGCCUAGGGCUGCACACGUGCUACAAUGGCAUCGACAGAACGAAGCAAGACCGCAAGGUGGAGCAAAUCGCUCAAAAGAUGCCCCAGUUCGGAUUGGAGGCUGCAACUCGCCUCCAUGAAGUUGGAAUCGCUAGUAAUCGCGGAUCAGCUACGCCGCGGUGAAUAUGUUCCUGAGCCUUGUACACACCGCCCGUCAAGUCAUGGAAGCCGGCAGUGCCCGAAGUCGCCUCGUUUCAGGGGUGCCCACGGCAAGGCUGGUGACUGGGACU
rnacentral:rRNA from 1 species